rnacentral:rRNA from 1 species
GACGAACCGUGCAAACGUUGUUCGGAAUCACUGGGCUUAAAGGGCGCGUAGGCGGGCAGUCAAGUCUGUGGUGAAAUCUUUCGGCUCAACCGGAAAAUUGCCGUGGAUACUGGCUGUCUUGAGGGAGGUAGGGGCCUGUGGAACUUCCGGUGGAGCGGUGAAAUGCGUUGAUAUCGGAAGGAACGCCGGUGGCGAAAGCGGCAGGCUGGAUCUCUUCUGACGCUGAGGCGCGAAAGCUAGGGGAGCAAACGGG